CUCUAGAGAUCAAUCAUGUUUAAAGUGGCCCAAAACUGAAGAAAAGGAUGAAGACUCUAGUGGAAGUUUACCUGCAGUUCUGAAGAUAGACUUAUGCUAAAAGCCCAAAGAAGACCAAAGAGAAGGAGACAAUGAAGUCAGUGGAAGAAACCAGUAAACAACUAUGCUUCAGAAAAUAAUGAGGAUGAAAACAAAGAAAUAUGGAUUCAAGCAACAGAUGUCCCAGCCCAGGAGCGGUGGACUAGCUGUGGAGCAGGCGUGGCUAGCAUCUGGUCCCAACGUGUCUGGAAGCGAUGUUACUCACGCUGGUGCCUUCGCCUUGGCCAGAUUCUGACGGCAUUCUCGUGGCGGACUUGAUUCCUGUUGGCUGCUGCCCCAGAGGCUCUCCCUUGUCCUCUGACUCUCAACGCCCAGCUUCUGCCAGGGAUCAUCGUGACCCUUCCAGGAGG